rnacentral:rRNA from 1 species
UCCUCAGUAGCGGCGAGUGAAGAGGGAAGAGCUCAAGCCGAUAAUCUCCGGCGGCAACGUCGGCGAAUUGUAGUUUAGAGAAGUGUCUUCAACGCGUGGCCGACCGGUCCAAGUUGCUUGGAACAGCACGUCGCGGAGGGUGACAAUCCCGUACGAGGCCGGUCGGCCUGCGCCACGAAGCACUUUCGUCGAGUCGGGUUGUUUGGGAAUGCAGCCCAAAGUGGGUGGUAAACUCCAUCUAAAGCUAAAUACGAGCACGAGACCGAUAGCGAACAAGUACCGUGAGGGAAAGAUGAAAAGCACUUUGAAAAGAGAGUUAAAGAGUACGUGAAACCGUUGAAGGGGAAACGAAUGCGACUAGCAAAGCACUCGUUGCAGAUUCAGCCAAAUCGACGAGCGUCGGUCGGUGCGCGGAUCCGAAUGGACCGUCGCYGAUUCGACGACUCGUCGGUCUGUCGCAAUUCUGCCCGGUGCGAGCCAACGUCGAUCRGUCGACGACGUUCGGUCGUUUCGUCAGGUGGUCCGCGGCUUCGGUCGUGGUCGUUAUAGGCGGGGCGACGAGGGCGUCGAGGCGGAUCGAGGAGACGAGUUGUCUCGGUGGCGGCCUGCGCGCUUCGGUGCUAGAGGCGAUCGGCACAUUUUGACGU